UACGUAGGGCGCAAGCGUUGUCCGGAAUUAUUGGGCGUAAAGAGCUCGUAGGUGGUUUGUUACGUCCGCUGUGAAAACCUAGGGCUUAACCCUGGGCUUGCAGUGGAUACGGGCAGACUAGAGGUAGGUAGGGGAGAAUGGAAUUCCUGGUGUAGCGGUGAAAUGCGCAGAUAUCAGGAGGAACACCGGUGGCGAAGGCGGUUCUCUGGGCCUUACCUGACACUGAGGAGCGAAAGCGUGGGGAGCGAACAGG
rnacentral:rRNA from 1 species